AGAACGAACGCUGGCGGCAUGCCUAAUACAUGCAAGUCGAACGAACACUUCGGUGUUAGUGGCGCACGGGUGCGUAACGCGUGGGAAUCUGCCCUUGGGUUCGGAAUAACAGUUGGAAACGACUGCUAAUACCGGAUGAUGACGAAAGUCCAAAGAUUUAUCGCCCAGGGAUGAGCCCGCGUAGGAUUAGCUAGUUGGUGAGGUAAGGCUCACCGAAGGCGACGAUCCUUAGCUGGUCUGAGAGGAUGAUCAGCCACACUGGGACUGAGACACGGCCCAGACCU
rnacentral:rRNA from 1 species